CCAAAAAUUAUAUGAGACAAGGAUUUCUGAGGGUGAGAUCUUUUACUGGCCCAACUGCAUAGUUGGGGUAGAGUGAAACGGCUUUUGAAUGCAAGACAUCCUCUCUCAUCAGGUCUUGGAAGUAAAG